rnacentral:rRNA from 1 species
UACGUAGGGUGCGAGCGUUGUCCGGAUUUAUUGGGCGUAAAGAGCUUGUAGGCGGCUCGUCACGUCGGGUGUGAAAACUCGCGGCUCAACCUCGAGACGUCGGUUGAAACCGUCUGGCUAGAGUCCGGAAGAGGAGAGUGGAAUUCCCGGUGUAGCGGUGAAAUGCGCAGAUAUCGGGAAGAACACCCGUGGCGAAGGCGGCUCUCUGGGACGGUACUGACGCUGAGACGCGAAAGCGUGGGGAGCGAACAGG